rnacentral:rRNA from 1 species
CCUACGGGAGGCAGCAGUGGGGGAUAUUGGACAAUGGGGGGAACCCUGAUCCAGCGACGCCGCGUGAGUGAAGAAGUAUUUCGUUAUGUAAAGCUCUGUCAGCAGGGAAGAAAGAAAUGACGGUACCUGACCAAGAAGCCCCGGCUAACUACGUGCCAGCAGCCGCGGUAAUACGUAGGGGGCAAGCGUGAUCCGGAAUUACUGGGUGUAAAGGGAGCGUAGACGGUUAAGUAAGUCUGGAGUGAAAGGCCGGGGCUCAACCCCGGGAUUGCUGUGGAAACUAUUGAACUAGAGUGCAGGAGAGGUAAGCGGAAUGCAUGGUGUAGCGGUGAAAUGCGUAGAUAGUAGGAAGAACACCAGUGGCGAAGGCGGCUUACUGGACUGUAACUGACGUUGAGGCUCGAAAGCGUGGGGAGCAAACAGGAUUAGAUACCCCAGUAGUC